rnacentral:rRNA from 1 species
CAGAGGUCCCAAGCGUUGUUCGGAUUCACUGGGCGUAAAGGGUGCGCAGGUGGUGGGGUAAGUCGGAUGUGAAAUCUCCGAGCUCAACUCGGAAAUGGCAUUGGAAACUACCCUGCUAGAGGGUCGGAGGGGGGACUGGAAUGCUUGGUGUAGCAGUGAAAUGCGUAGAUAUCAAGCGGAACACCAGUGGCGAAGGCGAGUCCCUGGACGACUCCUGACACUGAGGCACGAAAGCUAGGGGAGCAAACAGGAUUAGAUACCCUGGUAGUCCUAGCCGUAAACGGUGCACGUUUGCUGUAAAAGGAAUCGACCCCUUUUGUGGCGUAGCCAACGCGUUAAACGUGCCGCCUGGGAGGUACGGUCGCAAGAUUA